CACGCAGGUUUGUUACCUAGGUAUACACAUGCCAUGGUGGUUUGCUGCACCCAUCAACCCAUCAUUUAAAUUAGGUAUUCCUCCUAAGGCUAUUUCUCCCCUAUCCCCUCACCCCCUGACAGACCCCAGUGUGUGACGUUCCCCUCCCUAUGCCCACGUGUUCUCAUUGUUCACCUCCCACUUAUGAGUGAGACCAUGCAGUGCUUGGUUUUCUGUUCUUGUGCCAGUUUGCUGAGAAUGAUGAUUUCCAGAUUCAUUCAUGUCCCUGCAAAGGACAUGAACUCAUCCUUUUUUAUUGCUCUAUAGUAUUCCAUGGUGUAUAUGUGCCACAUUUUCUUUAUCCAGUCUAUCCUUGAUGGGCAUUUGGAUUGGUUCUAAGUCUUUGCUAUGUGAACAGUAGCUUUUUGACAUAACUUUUUGACUGAGGCUCUGCUUUCUGGAGAAAACAGGCUAGAGACGCCAUUCAUAAACAAAAGGAAAGGCAGAUUAAAAGUAAGGAUUAAACCUCUUGAUUCCCCACUAGGUGCCAGUAUUCUUGCUAAGCAACUCAAAUUUGCUAUCUCUUUUAAUCUUCACAGAAAACCAUACAAUAGGUAUUAUUUCUCCCAAUACAGUGGGGGAACUGAGACUCAAUGAGGCUUUAGUAACUUAUCCAAGAUGGCAGAGCUAAGAUGCUGACUUCGGUGCAUCUUGCUUCAAAGCCAGCCUUCUUCCCACUAUUCCUGUCUUUAUUAUGGAACACUGGGGCUUAGGAAUUCUGUGAAGAUUCCAUGUGAUAAUUCAUUAGUGGCCAUUUUCAGAAAGCUUUAGGCUGAUUCAGUGAAGACCCUUUUAAAUAUCCAAGCAGAGCAUAAUUGUAAAGUCCUAAAACGGCAGACUGGGCAAUCAGUUAAAAGUGAUGGUUAAAGUACAAUUAUUACUUGAAAUUUAGAUAUCAUUUUAGGUAGUCAUUUCUGAAUGGAAUCACACUGAUGGGCUAACUAAAUUCGAUCAUGAAAGUUACUAUUACAAGUGAGGGACUUUUCCCCGGUCCACAAGGGGCAUGGUUUCAAAGGCAGGAGUUUCCCGGCUCCACACCUCCAUUUGGAAACCAGAGGGGUUUCAAAUGUAAAGUUCUUUGUCUCGGUUUCCCGCAGGUGGGCUAGGUCCGGAAAGCCAGGUGAAGCUCCUUUGUCCCAAAGAGCCCAUGGGAAAGCCCUGGGAGGAAGGGGGCUCUGUAACUCAGGGCUGUGGACCAAGUAAUAUCAGUCUAACAUCAAUCACUCGAGAGGAAGUUUGAAAGAACUCCUCUCAUUGGACAAGAACAUGAAUGGGGCAGGCAUACAACUCAAGGGUUAAAACUCCAGCUGCUCCUUACCUAUAGGAUUCCUUCUCUUGGGUCUCCGCCUACGACAGUGUGGGAACUGUCUUUCUUUCCCUCUCUCUGUCUAAUAAAUUACUUUUCCACAAAACUCUUUGGGUCCAUGAUAUUAUUCGAACGGUAAACUCACCACGCCUCCAGGGUCCCCUUUCCCCAUUCUUGGGGUUAGUGAGGUCAAGAACCUCUUCAGAACUGGGAGCAUCUUCAGGACGCUCCCCUAGUUACAUCUUCUGCCAAGCCCGCCAGGAGAACGUGGGACUUCAGAGCGGUGAGUGAUAUUGGACCCCUUUUGCUUGCUAAUCUGUCCUUUCUCUUCUUUUAAAUUUGUAGAAGAGGUAAAAACCAGGCACCUGUUGGCCAUCAAAGUGCAACUAGUGCAGCCGCUGGACUAAAGACACGGGUGUCAGGCUUUCUGGGAACGGACUCUGCAACAGCUCCCAGCUCUCCAGAACUGGGAGUCCGUCCGCCCCGAACCAGCUUCCCUUUCUUGCUGUUCUUUUUCGCUCUGGGCCAAGCCGAGGGCCGGCCAGAGGAAAGGGCCGUGGUCCAAACUCCUGGUUCAGUCCAGUUGAGGUCGUGGCCCCACUUAGACCUUCUAACAAAAAGCCGCCUGUGCGAGCUAUGCCCAGCCUUUCAGACCCCAACCUCCUGGGUCCAGAUUUCUGUAAGGCAGACUUCUUCCGGCUCUUUUUUCAAAGAUAUUUUCUACACAGGAGGUUAUUAUCCUCCUUGCUAGGACUUUGAGGCUCUUGGGGCAGCAGUCCCAGGACCGUUGCCCGUGGUGCCCUUAGGCUUAUGCCCAUGAGGACCUCUUACAGUACACAGGGCCAGUUCUCUUAGUCCACUGUGCUAGGUUAUGUCCUAACAGAGCAGGAGUCUAUCAGAGGGUACUGGAGGCUAUAGGACAUUGUGUUUUUUGUCACUGGCAAUUUCGCAGUCCAACUGAGUGGUGCCAGAACCCGAUGACGUACAAUUUGUCUUGCCUAGGAUUGACUCUCCGUAUGGCAGAACUUUUCCAUCUAAAAUACCAUAGUCAGACCUGGUCUGAGGCUCAAAUAGUUCAUUACAGGCCCCACAACCCUAGGGCAUAUUCCUAGAAUGGAAAGUGGGGUGGGGGAGAAGGCCCGGUCCCGAGGGCAUUGUUCCAGCCAGGCAGCCUGCCAUUACCUUCUUUAAGAUUGUUGCGAUUAGAGGCCCCUCCCAAGGAGUUUAUCCUCCUAGGGCAGCUUUAUGAUCAGGCCUAUGUUAAUUAAACUCUUGCUAGGGAAUAUUGGCACCCAUUGCCCAAGACUCACUGGCCUAGUUCUUCAAGGACAUGCUGGUAAAGGGCCACUAAGCCUGGCGGUCCCCAUGUCCUUAAGGUGGCCAUAAGGACAUUAGACAGUGAGGGUAUGCACAUGAUGCCAGUAAGAGUGAUUAAACCUGGCACCUGGGGGGCCCAGGAGAUAAUCACGCAUCUAGGACACGAGGAAACCACAAGGUGCUCUAACUGGGGGAUGCCCCAGGGCUAGCAGUUGCGAGGAAUAACCAGGGAUGUGGGUAUCCCUGUGUUCAAUUUCAGAUGGGUGCUACUCUUCCCAAGGCAAAAUCACCCUUAAAGUGUAUCCUGGAUAACUGGGACCAAUUUGACCCACGAUCUUUGGAGAAGAAAUGGCUCAUUUUUCUCCGCCAAACAGCAUGGCCACAAUACCCUCUGCCGAGUGGAGAAGCCUGGCCUCCUAGGGGAAGUAUAAAUUAUAACACCCUUCUACAAUUAGACCUGUUCUGUAAGAGGGAAGGUAAAUGGAUUGAAGUCUCCUAUGUGCAAGUUUUCUUUUCUCUAAGGGAUAAUCCUUAGCUACUUAAGGCUUGUAACCUAUGCGCUACUGGCCCCUCCUCAGGACUACCCCCAGAUUUAGGACUCCCUGUGGCUCCUCCCUCCACCGAUGCUGACCAGGUCUCCUCAGCUUCAGGGAAGGCCAAAGCUGCCAAAGGCACCUCAGGCUACUAGGAUGCCCCAACUCUGCCCCCUACAGGCAGUAGGAGGAGAAUUUGGCCCAACCAAAGUCCGUGCUCCUUUUUCACUUUCUGACUUAAAGCAAAUCAAGGCAGACUUAGGAAAAUUUUCAGAUGACCCAGACAAGUACAUAGAUGUUCUGCAGGGCCUGGGUCAGUCCUUUGAAUCGGAUUGGAAAGAUAUCAUGUUAUGGCUUAGGCAGACCCUAACCAGCAAUGAGAGGCUGCUCUAGCAGCAGUUCAAGAGUCUGGGGACACCUGGUACCUCGGUCAAGUACAUAACCAAGUGACUCCAGAUGAGAAGGACAGAGCAGGAGCCAUUAUCUAUAUGAACAUCAUCAGGGAGGAAAUCCCUCUCUGCUGCCCAUUAUUUAAAGAAGGAGUUAAUCCCGAGGUUUGGGCAAAGGAGGGACAAUUUGGGUGGGCAAAGAAUGCAUGCCCAAUUCGAAUAAAGCUAAAGGAUCCGACCUCUUUUCCUUACCAAAGACAGUACCCCAUAAGACCAGAAGCCAAAAGCGGGCUAUGGGAUACUGUAAGGAACUUAAAAAUUCAGGGUCUAGUGAGGUCCUGUAACAGCCCUUGUAAUAAUCCAGUUUUAGGAAUACAAAACCUAAUGGACAGUGGAGGCUGACGCAAGAUCUCAGGCUUAUUAAUGAAGCUGUAACCCCUUCAUACCCAGCCGUACCCAACCCAUACACCUUGCGCCCUCAAAUGCCAGGAGAGGCCCAAUGGGUUACAGUCCCGGACCUUAAGGAUGCCUCUUUCUGUGUUCCAUUACAUCCUGACUCCCAGUUUCUCUUCGCCUUUGUAAACCCUUUAGACCAGCUCACCUGGACAGUGUUACCCCGGGGCUUUUGAGAUAGCCCCCACCUGUUUGGUCAGGCUUAUUCUUUGUGGCACCUCAGCUUACAGCUGCCUGAACAAUACCCCUGGGGAAAUAUGCCUCCUCUCCUUCCUAGUGCCCCCCAUGACGAUUUACACCGACUCUCAAGUGCAGAGUCUUCUCUUGCCCAGGCCACACCAUACUCAAACCCCAAUUAUUCCUUUCACAGUGGGGGCUGGAAUAAUAGGAGCACUUGGUACUGGCAUUGGAGGAAUUACUACCUCUACUCGGUUUUACUAUAAGCUAUCUCAGGCGUUAAAUGAUUACAUGGAAAAGGUUGCUAAUUCUCUUGAAACUCUGCAGAAGCAGCUUAACUCUUUAGGUGCCAUGGCUCUUCAAAAUAGAAGGGCCUUGGAUCUGCUAACAGCAGAGAGAAGAGAACCUUUCUCUUUUUAGGAGAAGAGUGCUGCUACUUUGUAAACCAAUCGAGUAUUGUCUUAAACAAAGAACUCAGGGACUGAAUCAAAUGCAGGUCCCUGAGUUGUAUUGGAAAGAUACCAUGUUACUGCUUAGUCAGACCCUAACCAGCAGUAAGAGAUAGGCUGCUUCCCUGGGUCCCCUCCCACGACAGCAUGGGAGCUGUCUUUCUCUCUCUCUGUCUAAAAAAUCGCUUUUCCGCAAAACUCUUUGGGUCCACGAUAUUUAUUCGAACGGCAAACUCACUGCACCUCUGGGGCCCCUUUCCCCAUUCUUCAGGGUUAGCGAGGUCAAGAACCUCUUUGGAACUUGGAACUGAGUAUGUUCCCCUGGUUACACAAGGAUGAGAGCAUGAAGGGUUGGGAGACACACAGAGACCCAAGAAGAGAAAUGAGGGAAAGAGCCCUCCCAACAAGCGCAUCUCAAUGCUCAGCAUGAAGUUACUUGGCCACCCGGCCUCUGCUCAGCCGCCCCAUCCACAUCUGUCUGUUCUGCCCAUAAAGAUCUUUGGGGACAAAAAGUACAAAGUUAUUAGCUAGAAAACCAAUCUCAAAACAAAAUAGAGGGUCCUGACUGCCAGAGACUAAAAUGGAAAGGAUUUCCUCGUACUGCACAAGAUGUAACUGGCAGGGUUCUAUGCUUCUGUAGAGGUUUGGGCCAGAACUGCACUUUGAAAAAUUGGAAAAAGACUGAAUUUGGACCCUGUUAUGCAUCUCAGUGAGCGUCCCUCCAGGUAUUGGAAUGGAAUGAUCUGUGUCCUUCUGUGGGAAGAGAGAAAUGUUUUUUGUGCACUUAAAGAGUCAGGCUAUUUGUAGGUUUAAUUACUUUCUCUUGUCUGAUCAAGUGCCGAAGGAUUAGCCCCUUGAAGAUGGCUGUUAGUCCAUAAAUGAACACAAACGUGGGUUUGAGAAUUUGUGGAGGUAGCAUCAGUGCUUUUCUACAUCCUGCCUGAUGUAGAAAUAGGCAGGUUUCAUUCAAACUUGAUUAAGUGACCAAAGGCGUUGAGAAACUUCAUUGUACCACAGAACAGGAUUUUCAUUUUCUGCUUGGAGAAUUCAGUCAUUUUAAUGUCCAAAGAAACUACUGUGGAAAAUUUAACUGGUCCAAAGUAUGUUUAACUGUCUAGAACAGAUGGGGGAAAGGGAUAUUUUUCCAGAUGCUUUAGAAAUGUUUAAUAUGUAUUUCCUUUUACCCAAAAGCAUGGUUACAUAUUAUCUUAUGCAGAGAAAUGCCUUAUUUGGAGAAAAAUAAAUAUAAACAUUACAGUUAUGUAUAAACUAUGCCAAUUCUUGGACUCAUCCUUUGUUGUUAUUUUUGAAAACCACUUGCCUUAAUUAAAUAAAUCUCUGCCACCUAUAUUUUGGGAACAUCUGCUGGUUAGUGUCUCUGUCUCUAUGUGCUAGUGAAUCUAAAUAGAUAUCUGUUCCAAAACAUUUGCCAAAACAAUCUCCUUCAGGAGAUUAAGACCUUAAAAGUAAUUUAUCAUAUUCGCCUAUUUCAAGUCAUUUGCUCAAAACAAAAUUCUGGAAAGUGGCAUCAGCAACAUGAAGAAAUAGUAAGCUCCUGACUCUACCUCCUCCCACAAAUGCACCAAAUAAACACCUAUAUUUGGAUCAGUUCCCUCCAAGAGAAAGCCAGAAACUGGUUGAAAGACUCCUGAAUACCAAACAACUGAGAAAAUAUCCACAUUGAAACAGGGAGGAAGAGUAGAGAUAUACUGAUGCACAAACCCCAUCUUCACCACAGCUCCUUACAAUAAGCAUGAAUCCUCAACUCCUAGCUUCUUCCUGAAGAAUGAGGGCUUGUAACAAGCAUAGAGCAUCCAGUCUUUUACAAUCCCUGCUGAAGGAUUUGGCGCCGAAAUUGUUAACGGUAGGGGGUGUCCAGGUUCUUGUCGUCUUGAACAAAGAACUGGACAAAACACACAAGGCAAGGAAGGGCUGAGGGAACUUAUUGCAAAUGAAAGUACACUCCGCAGUGUGGGAGCGGGCCUAGGCAUAGGGGCUCAAAGGCCCUGGCACAGACUUUUUGUGAGUUUAAAUAUCCCCUACUUGGGGUAUGC